rnacentral:rRNA from 1 species
AACUGAAGAGUUUGAUCCUGGCUCAGAUUGAACGCUGGCGGUAUGCUUUACACAUGCAAGUCGAACGGCAGCACGGGGCAACCUGGUGGCGAGUGGCGAACGGGUGAGUAACAUAUCGGAACAUAUCCGGAAGUGGGGGAUAACGUAGCGAAAGUUACGCUAAUACCGCAUAUGCCCUGAGGGGGAAAGGGGGGGAUCGCAAGACCUCUCGCUUUCGGAGUGGCCGAUAUCGGAUUAGCUAGAUGGUGAGGUAAAGGCUCACCAUGGCGACGAUCCGUAGCGGGUCUGAGAGGACGACCCGCCACACUGGAACUGAGACACGGUCCAGACUCCUACGGGAGGCAGCAGUGGGGAAUUUUGGACAAUGGGCGCAAGCCUGAUCCAGCCAUACCGCGUGAGUGAAGAAGGCCUUCGGGUUGUAAAGCUCUUUCAGCCGGAAAGAAAUCGCACUUUUUAAUACGGAGUGUGGAUGACGGUACCGGAAGAAGAAGCACCGGCUAACUACGUGCCAGCAGCCGCGGUAAUACGUAGGGUGCGAGCGUUAAUCGGAAUUACUGGGCGUAAAGCGUGCGCAGGCGGUUUGAUAAGACAGAUGUGAAAUCCCCGGGCUCAACCUGGGAACUGCAUUUGUGACUGUCAGACUAGAGUGUAGCAGAGGGGGGUAGAAUUCCACGUGUAGCAGUGAAAUGCGUAGAGAUGUGGAGGAAUACCGAUGGCGAAGGCAGCCCCCUGGGCUAACACUGACGCUCAUGCACGAAAGCGUGGGGAGCAAACAGGAUUAGAUACCCUGGUAGUCCACGCCCUAAACGAUGUCAACUAGGUGUUGGGGAAGGAGACUUCUUUAGUACCGCAGCUAACGCGUGAAGUUGACCGCCUGGGGAGUACGGUCGCAAGAUUAAAACUCAAAGGAAUUGACGGGGACCCGCACAAGCGGUGGAUUAUGUGGAUUAAUUCGAUGCAACGCGAAAAACCUUACCUACCCUUGACAUG